GAUAAACGCUGGCGGCGUGCCUAAUACAUGCAAGUCGAGCGAACGGACGAGAAGCUUGCUUCUCUGAUGUUAGCGGCGGACGGGUGAGUAACACGUGGAUAACCUACCUAUAAGACUGGGAUAACUUCGGGAAACCGGAGCUAAUACCGGAUAAUAUUUUGAACCGCAUGGUUCAAAAGUGAAAGACGGUCUUGCUGUCACUUAUAGAUGGAUCCGCGCUGCAUUAGCUAGUUGGUAAGGUAACGGCUUACCAAGGCAACGAUGCAUAGCCGACCUGAGAGGGUGAUCGGCCACACUGGAACUGAGACACGGUCCAGACUCCUACGGGAGGCAGCAGUAGGGAAUCUUCCGCAAUGGGCGAAAGCCUGACGGAGCAACGCCGCGUGAGUGAUGAAGGUCUUCGGAUCGUAAAACUCUGUUAUUAGGGAAGAACAUAUGUGUAAGUAACUGUGCACAUCUUGACGGUACCUAAUCAGAAAGCCACGGCUAACUACGUGCCAGCAGCCGCGGUAAUACGUAGGUGGCAAGCGUUAUCCGGAAUUAUUGGGCGUAAAGCGCGCGUAGGCGGUUUUUUAAGUCUGAUGUGAAAGCCCACGGCUCAACCGUGGAGGGUCAUUGGAAACUGGAAAACUUGAGUGCAGAAGAGGAAAGUGGAAUUCCAUGUGUAGCGGUGAAAUGCGCAGAGAUAUGGAGGAACACCAGAGGCGAAGGCGACUUUCUGGUCUGUAACUGACGCUGAUGUGCGAAAGCGUGGGGAUCAAACAGGAUUAGAUACCCUGGUAGUCCACGCCGUAAACGAUGAGUGCUAAGUGUUAGGGGGUUUCCGCCCCUUAGUGCUGCAGCUAACGCAUUAAGCACUCCGCCUGGGGAGUACGACCGCAAGGUUGAAACUCAAAGGAAUUGACGGGGACCCGCACAAGCGGUGGAGCAUGUGGUUUAAUUCGAAGCAACGCGAAGAACCUUACCAAAUCUUGACAUCCUUUGACAACUCUAGAGAUAGAGCCUUCCCCUUCGGGGGACAAAGUGACAGGUGGUGCAUGGUUGUCGUCAGCUCGUGUCGUGAGAUGUUGGGUUAAGUCCCGCAACGAGCGCAACCCUUAAGCUUAGUUGCCAUCAUUAAGUUGGGCACUCUAAGUUGACUGCCGGUGACAAACCGGAGGAAGGUGGGGAUGACGUCAAAUCAUCAUGCCCCUUAUGAUUUGGGCUACACACGUGCUACAAUGGACAAUACAAAGGGCAGCGAAACCGCGAGGUCAAGCAAAUCCCAUAAAGUUGUUCUCAGUUCGGAUUGUAGUCUGCAACUCGACUACAUGAAGCUGGAAUCGCUAGUAAUCGUAGAUCAGCAUGCUACGGUGAAUACGUUCCCGGGUCU
rnacentral:rRNA from 1 species